UCAUCCUGUCUGCGUGAACGCUAAUUGGGGGAUAUCUUUCAAAAAAAGAGGAUGGUCGACCUGUGGCCCCCGAAACAAGUUUAUCACUGGCUUUUAUCGUAACAGCGUAGUUAAAUAUGAUGGACUCGACCGUCUUGAACAAGCAAAAUGCUGCCCGUUAAGUCCAAAAUAUUUCGCCCAAUACAUUAAUUGUAAAAACGCUGACUGGGAGAGAACUUUCAACAUACGAGGAACAUGGAAUAUUUGUCCAGCAGGGUAUUUUCUAUAUGGUCUGUAUCGUUCGUGUGGCAAUCACUUAUAUAACAUCGAAAGAGGGAUGUGUUGCAAACCAUUUAAUCAUCCCAAAAAAUAUGGUGGCUGUAGCUUUCAAAAAACUGAUUUCAAAAAGAAAGGAUGGACAAUGUGCAAAAAAGAUGGCUACUACAUUGCUGGGUUAAGACGAGAUUAUAAAGGGAAUUGGCUUCAUAAUAUUGAUUACUUGAGAUGCUGUAAAAUGU